UGACCGUAUCCGAAUCUGAUGACGGAUAUAAGAGGCCGGACGGACAGCCGGGUCAAAUGCCGA
rnacentral:sRNA from 1 species